GGGAAUGUGUCUAAGUGGUAGAGAGCUUGCCUCACAUGCAUGAAGCCCUGGGUUCAAGUCCUCAGCAUCA
rnacentral:tRNA from 1 species